UGCAUGUCUAAGUACAUGCCGUAUUAAGGCGAAACCGCGAAUGGCUCAUUAAAUCAGUUAUGGUUCCUUGGAUCGUACUUCACUACUUGGAUAACUGUGGCAAUUCUAGAGCUAAUACAUGCAGCAGAGCUCCGACCUUCGGGGACGAGCGCUUUUAUUAGACCAAAACCAAUCGGACCUCGUGUCCGUCCUCCGUGGUGACUCUGUAUAACUUUGGGCUGAUCGCACGGGCCCGUCCCGGCGACGUAUCUUUCAAGUGUCUGCCUUAUCAACUUUCGAUGGUAGGUUACGCGCCUACCAUGGUCAUAACGGGUAACGGGGAAUCAGGGUUCGAUUCCGGAGAGGGAGCCUGAGAAACGGCUACCACAUCCAAGGAAGGCAGCAGGCGCGCAAAUUACCCACUCCCAGAACGGGGAGGUAGUGACGAAAAAUAACAAUACGGGACUCUUUUGAGACCCCGUAAUUGGAAUGAGUACACUCUAAAUCCUUUAACGAGGAUCUAUUCGAGGGCAAGUCUGGUGCCAGCCGCCGCGGUAAUUCCAGCUCGAAUAGCGUAUAUUAAAGUUGUUGCGGUUAAAAAGCUCGUAGUUGGAUCUCAGUUCCAGACGGGUGGUCCGCCAAACGGUGGUUACUGCCCGUUCUGAACAGCCA
rnacentral:rRNA from 1 species